rnacentral:rRNA from 1 species
GAGUUUGAUCCUGGCUCAGGAUGAACGCUGGCGGCGUGCCUAAGACAUGCAAGUCGAGGGGGUUUAGGCCCCCGGCGAACGGGUGAGUAACACGUGGGAACUUCCAUUAAGUUUGGGAUAUCCUUCCGAAAGGGAGAGCAAUACCAAAUGUGGCCGCAAGGCUAAAGCCGCAAGGCGCUUAAUGCAAGGCCCGCGGCCCAUCAGCUAGUUGGUAGGGUAAUGGCCUACCAAGGCGAUGACGGGUAGCGGAAGCGAGAGCUUGAUCCGCCACACUGGGACUGCGACACGGCCCAGACUCCUACGGGAGGCAGCAGUGGGGAAUUUUGGACAAUGGGCGCAAGCCUGAUCCAGCAAUGCCGCGUGCGUGAAGAAGGCCUUCGGGUUGUAAAGCACUUUUGUCCGGAAAGAAAUCCCUUGCCCUAAUACGGCAGGGGGAUGACGGUACCGGAAGAAUAAGCACCGGCUAACUACGUGCCAGCAGCCGCGGUAAUACGUAGGGUGCAAGCGUUAAUCGGAAUUACUGGGCGUAAAGCGUGCGCAGGCGGUUCGCUAAGACAGAUGUGAAAUCCCCGGGCUUAACCUGGGAACUGCAUUUGUGACUGGCGGGCUAGAGUAUGGCAGAGGGGGGUAGAAUUCCACGUGUAGCAGUGAAAUGCGUAGAGAUGUGGAGGAAUACCGAUGGCGAAGGCAGCCCCCUGGGCCAAUACUGACGCUCAUGCACGAAAGCGUGGGGAGCAAACAGGAUUAGAUACCCUGGUAGUCCACGCCCUAAACGAUGUCAACUAGUUGUCGGGUCUUCAUUGACUUGGUAACGUAGCUAACGCGUGAAGUUGACCGCCUGGGGAGUACGGUCGCAAGAUUAAAACUCAAAGGAAUUGACGGGGACCCGCACAAGCGGUGGAUGAUGUGGAUUAAUUCGAUGCAACGCGAAAAACCUUACCUACCCUUGACAUGUACGGAAGUCCGCUGAGAGGUGGAUGUGCCCGAAAGGGAGCCGUAACACAGGUGCUGCAUGGCUGUCGUCAGCUCGUGUCGUGAGAUGUUGGGUUAAGUCCCGCAACGAGCGCAACCCUUGUCCCUAGUUGCUACGCAAGAGCACUCUAGGGAGACUGCCGGUGACAAACCGGAGGAAGGUGGGGAUGACGUCAAGUCCUCAUGGCCCUUAUGGGUAGGGCUUCACACGUCAUACAAUGGUCGGAACAGAGGGUCGCCAACCCGCGAGGGGGAGCCAAUCCCAGAAAACCGAUCGUAGUCCGGAUCGCACUCUGCAACUCGAGUGCGUGAAGCUGGAAUCGCUAGUAAUCGCGGAUCAGCAUGCCGCGGUGAUACGUUCCCGGGUCUUGCACACAC